rnacentral:rRNA from 1 species
UCCGGUUGAUCCUGCCAGAGGCCGCUGCUAUCCGGCUGGGACUAAGCCAUGCUAGUCUAGGGGCUUGUACUCCUUCGGGGGUGCAAGCACCGGCGGACGGCUCAGUAACACGUGGACAACCUGCCCUCGGGUGGGGGAUAACCCCGGGAAACUGGGGCUAAUCCCCCAUAGGUGAUGGGUGCUGGAAUGCCCCAUCUCCGAAAGCGCUUAGCGCCCGAGGAUGGGUCUGCGGCGGAUUAGGUAGUUGGUGGGGUAACGGCCCACCAAGCCUAAGAUCCGUACGGGCUGUGGGAGCAGGAGCCCGGAGAUGGACCCUGAGACAAGGGUCCAGGCCCUACGGGGCGCAGCAGGCGCGAAACCUCCGCAAUGCGGGAAACCGCGACGGGGUUAGCCGGAGUGCCCGUGCAUUGCACGGGCUGUCGGGGUGCCUAAACAGCACCCCAUAGCAAGGGCCGGGCAAGGCCGGUGGCAGCCGCCGCGGUAAGACCGGCGGCCCGAGUGGCGGCCACUCUUAUUGGGCCUAAAGCGUCCGUAGCCGGCCCAGUAAGUCCCCCGGGAAAUCUGGUCGCUUAACGAUCAGACUUCCGGGGGAUACUGCUGGGCUAAGGACCGGGAGAGGC